AUCGUCUCUUGCCACUGCCAUGUAAGAACUGCCUUUUGCCCUCUGCCAUGAUUGUGAGACCUCCCAGCUAUGAUGGACUGUAAGUAAAAUUAAACCUCCUUUUCUUCCCAGUCUUGGGUAUGUAUCAGCAGCGUGAAAACGGACUAAUACACAUCCUUAGUUGGAAGGGAGCCAGAGGGGUCAGAAACAUCCUUUAUGGUGGAGGGGGCACUUUAUGUUGGUUGUCUAAGUGAGUUUGGGCUGCUAGAACAUGAACACCACAGACUGGGUGACUUAACAGAAAUGUAUUCCUCACAGUAUGAAGUCUGGGAAGUCUAAGAUCAAAGUGCUGGCUGAUUUGGUUGUUGGUGAGAGCUCACUUCCUGGUUUGUGGAGGGAUGCCUUCUCACAGUAUCCUCACGUGACUGAGGGAAAGCUAGCUCACUCCCUGGCUGCUCCUUAAAAGACACUCAUCCCAUUCAUGAGGGCUCUACCCUCAUGAUCUAAUUACCCCCCAAAGGUUCCACCUCUAGACACUAUCACAUUGGGGAUUACAGCUUCAAAAUAUAAAUUUUGGUGAGACACAUACAUUUGGUCCAUAGCACUGACGUCGUCUCAUUUUGUAGUCCAAUAGCAGGAAAAAGAGGGUCAAUUAUCCCCACUUUAUAGAUGAGGAAGAUGAGUUCUGAGACAGGGUACGGAGGUAGAGUAGAGGGGGAAAGAAGCUAGAUGAAGGGCGUCAUAUCCCCUAAUUUGUCCUGAGGUAGGGAGGGGGAGAGCUGGUAGCUGUCACAUGAGUGGUCACUAUAUAGACAAAUAGUGGGGCCCACUUCCAGGGCAGGACUCAGAAGCACUAGUGGAGGGUCCAGUCCAGAGAAGGGACUCCACAAAUGAUGCCGCUGUAAUUAUUGUCUGAUCAUCUAUUCAUCACACAUUUUCUGAGUACAUCCUCUGUGGUGAGCACUACUCAUAUGUUCUUUAUCAUCCUCAUGGACAUGACACCCCACUUGGCCUGCGGUGGCUGGAGACCUGGGGAGGAGUCAUAUCACAGCUUUUAGACCCACUCUGACAUCGAGGUUAAAUGCAACUUUAGGGCCAGCAAGUACAAGCCUUAUUCUGCCACUUACUAGCUGCAGGGCCUGGGGUGGCACUUGGCCUCCCAAGGGAAGGUGCUCUUUUCCCCAUUUUACAAUUGAGAGGACAAGAUAUGAGAGGUGAAAAUACAGACCUCCCUGACUAGAAUUCAUUCUCCCAACCACCAUGCACACUAGUGUUUCCCAGAGGUGGUCCUGCAGGCUUCAGAAUCUUGUGAGGUGUUUGGAGAGUGAUUCCUGACCCCUCCUCCGACUCAGUAAAUCUUGACAGUGAGGCCCCAAAAUAUGAAUUCUUCACAAGCUCUGAAGGUGAUUCUUAUGUGUGUUGGGGCUUGAGAAUUGGCUCUCCUGCCUCCUCAUUUCCAGUCUUUAAACAGGGAUCUGCACAGCAGCAGGCAGCAGAAGUAGGCAGCGCUCUGGAAAUACAGUUGGCAAAAGCUCUCUCCCUUAAAACUAACAGGGAGAGAGCUAACUCCAUGACUGGCAUGACAUCUGUGAACAAAGGAAGUGACAGGGCCACCAAGAACUGCUGUGGGCCAGUGAGAGCAACAGAAGACCAGGUCCUAGCCUUCCCUGCUGAGAACUUUACCCAUUGCCUAGUGAGAAGGAACUGGAGAUGCCAUCAGAGCUGCAUCGUAGUAAUGCUGGUAGAUUUCAAUUUUUACAAUUUAUAUUUGUUAUGAAUGUAUUCACCAUUCCUUAGAGUAUGUUUAAUUAUCCUCAGUCUUUGUUCUGCUUUUAAAAUCCACAUUGAAAAGGCAAAGUGACAUGUGCUUAAGAGGUCUUUAAUAAAUACUUUGGUCAAGAACAGGGAGGGGGUAGUUUAAUUCCUCCUGAUUAGACCCGCCUACUUCCCGGCCAUCUGAAAUUUAAAUUUAAGUAAAAGUCAGUAUGCUUUCUAAAUAAAUGCAGUUUCACAACACAACCUUUAGCCCACACUCAAGCAACUAUAUGGCUGCCCCUAAUUCCUCCUCUAUUGACAUUCAGGAGCUGCCAGGGUUUCUGUAAAAGUACCUGAACACAGUGGAUCAACCAACAGUGGCUCUGGGGUUUAGAGUUUUGAGCAGCAGCUCAGAAUGAUAUCCAUCUGCCUUUCUGAAUCACAGCCAACUUCUGGCCUCUCUGCACAGAUUUGGUGCAGGAAACUAGCCAUACCCACGCCCACACCCACAGCUCGCCCCGUGCCUCCUUCAUCUUCAUAAUUCUGCUCCCACCCUCUUCCCUCUUCCUUGCCCUUCAAGUUGCAACACUGAACUGAGUUUAUGGAUGAUGCUCAACAAUUUAUUGUUGAUUAACUGAUUGAUUGAUUCUGUUGCUAUGGAAACCAUCAGAUUCUAGUACAACAGUGGGAUUCCUUCCUGACUUUAUGCUUGACAAAAUGCUGACUCUCUGUGCUUGCUUCUCCCAGCUUGCCACCUCCAUCUGGGUCAGGAGGAGCAAUUGGAAGCAGAAGCUCCAAGAGAAAGGUGGGAAUGUUGGUAAACCCAGGUGAAAAAAAGCAACAAGGAGGGUUGCUAGGAGAAAUGAAUGAAAUGAUACAAGUAAGGUAGAAAGCAGAGUGCUUUCUACAAGCCAAGAAGUGGCCCCCCAACAGAUACCAAGCUCUGGACCUCCUGGUGCCUUGAUUUUGGACUUCCCAGCCUUUUUCAGACCUGUGAGAAAGGUCCGCCGCAUCUUGGAAGGAAACUUCAAAGCUCAUUUAAAGUCAGCCUCUCACAUAGCCCUGCUGGUCUAACUUUCUUCUGAAUGUGAUUUCAGAAGUAAAACCAGGCCAGGGGCUGGGACUCAGGUGAGUCUCACUGACCGUGACCUCUGGAGAGUCAACUGAAAUGGAGAGACAAAUACCAAGGAGAUAUCAGGAAGAAUAUUGUCCCCAGUAAAUACCAAGUCACAUCAGGAAGAAUAUUGUGGAGAGAGAGGUAAAGAAUCAGGAUGGAAACAGAAAAUAGGCCGAACAAUGGCCAAGCGUCAAAAUCCUACGUCAGGACAGUGCUAGGACUGCUUUUUUCUAUAUCAGACACGUGGGCUCCUGCUGUGUCUUCCUGGAAAGCAGAGGCCAAGGAUGGAGCAGACCAAGAGGAUGCCAGGAAAAAUCACAAAGAAGCCCAGAAAGCACAGCUGGAAGCCAAGAACCCUAUUUUUGGUUUGUGUGGGUGGAAGGUGAGGGACAACAUAUAGUGACCAACAGGAUUCUUCAUUUGAAAGAGAAUGGAGUACAUCAGACCUGUGUAUUUAGGUGAAGUAUGAUAAACAUCAUCAUACUUCAAAGAUUAUGAACAUCAAAGAUUAUGGAAAGGAACAUGACUGCUUAGUUUAUUCCAUUACCAGUGAUCUGCUUGUUUGUUCAUUUGCUUACCCAUCCAUUCAUUUAUUCAUUCAUUCCUCCAUCCAUUCUCUUUCACUUAUUCUACAAUCAUGAUUGUAUGCCUACCAUAUCGCUAGAGAGAGGGCAGGAAAAGAUCCAAGGAUGUGAAUACAAUCUUCUGCUUCAUGAUGAGAGCUAAAGGAAUCUGUAAAGACUUUGUCUUUUUCAUUUUUCUCUCUCCUACAUAGACCCUGGAAAAUGUUUUAUUUCUUAUAAUUUGCCUGAGGUUUACUCAUCCACUACCAGAGCUCUGAAAACACUCUUCAGAACACUAUUUUAAAAUAAUGACAAUGACAAUAAUAGAUAACAUAUAUUCAGUGUUUUUUGUAUGUGAAGCAAUGUAAUAACCAUUUAAAAUGAUUGUAACUAUACUUUAUAAGAGUAUGAUGAAACAGGCACUAUUAAAAUGCUAGUUUUUCACACAGCUAAUAUGAGAGAGAGCUGGGAUUUGGAGCCUCCAUUCAUGGCCAUUAUAUGGUCUGUCUAAUGAAUGAAAUGUUUGACCUUAGAGAAAACUUGAAAUGCAUAGUUUUCUUUGCUGACUUGAAUGAUAUAAGUUUAAAAAUCCGAUAGUGGUUGCUAGUUGAAAAUUCCUAUUCCUUGGGAAACUGUUGAAAGUCUGUUUAGUACUAACCCCCCUCAUUAAUGGCCAUUUGCAAAGCCAGGCCAAGUUUAGUCUUCUACCAGCACUGAAGAAACACAUUUUUACCCAGAAGAAAUGAGGGUGAAAUCCUCUGAUAACUGGAAGAUGCUGGAUGUUCUGGAAAGAAAAGUAAUUUUUUUUUCAAUCUCUGGAAAUUGCUUUUUUUGUUUUAAGUAAGGGUGGCUCAGUAGAUGCUAACAGAGAAGCUGGGAUCAGCUAAUCUGGAGAAGAUUCUGAGAGAAUGAGUUGGGGAAGCUCACACUGAGAAAAUGAGAAGAUUGGUAGGAAGGGCGGUUUCUUGCUGUGUCCAAGAACAGGAAUUGAGAAAUGGUAUUAAGCUGAAGGUGAGAGGGGAACAAAGAAGACUUUGAAAGUUGCAUACAGGUUUGAAACAAAGUAUACCACAAGGAAUGGGAACAUGUAGAGCUGUUUUAAAAAUGUUUCUGUGUUUGUGUGAGUGUGUGUACUAGAUAUAUUUUUAAAAUGACUUUUCUCGGAAUUACAUCAUACUUUGAAGAUCAGCAUAGGAAGUGAAGAAGGAACAAAUAUUCACUGAGAGCAUUCACUAAGGGCCAGGAGCUCCCUGAAUACCACAUAUGCCACCGCUCUCUCUUGUGAUCCUGAAGGUCUGUGAGGCAGUUAUCACUAUGUAUGGUAUAUUUUCAAAGAAAGCAAAUAAAACCCAAUGUGACUAAGAAAGAUGCUAAAGUCAUACAGCUAAUUAGCUGUGGGUCCAGGAUUCAAACCAGUGCACCCAGCACAUGGUCUUCAAUAAAUAUUUAUUGAGCAGUGAAUACAUGAAUGAGUAAAUAAGAUGAAGCAAGCAAGCAAGCAGGUAGGCUUGUCUAACCCAAGUGUUCAUGUUCUAUCCUCUGUACUGGUGGUUUUUAAAUUGUGUGCCACAAAGGCCUUGGGUAACAUGAGGAGGGUUAGUAUGAGUGGCUGUCUAGCAGCAUGGGGCCCCAGGCUCCCUAUCUCUACUCCAACCAGGGCAUCUCUGCUUCUGUUUGUGUUAAACAUUGGGCUUUUGCCUGAGGUUUCAUUUGAAGAAGAGGGCCUUCUUCUAGAAAGUGUUUAUUACUCCUGCCCCAUGCCGUGUUCCCUCCUAAGUAUGCAUUAUGAACUAGUUAAGUUUAAUAAAGACAUAUAUUACUGUAAAGUUGGAAUUUAUACCAGUGUCUGAAUUCCAGUAGCAGCCCCCAUAUCUUGGUAAUCGAAAGCCAACUGUUUCUAAUAUCCGGCAUGCUGCUGAGGCCAUUAACAAUAGAUGAGCCAUCUAGGGCAUUAUGGCUAGCAGCCGGGACUACAACUUCAAGCUGUCUAGGUUCAACUGUGGCUCUGCCAUGACCUGGUGAAAUCUCAGGUAAAUGAUUCGACCUCUCCACACUUUAGCUUCCUCAUCCAUGAAAUGUGAUAGCUACCUUAUACAGCAUGGAAACUUUGUGCUCCAGUAAUAUGAAUGGGCUCACUAUAGCCAAGUGCACUUAGUUCCCUUGAUCUCACGUUUUUGUUUAUGCUGGCUCCCAACUUAAUGUGGUCUUCUCACUUUUCAUCUGACUGUGAAAACUCCAACCAAAGGUACUUAUAUUCCUCCCACUCAAUAAAUAUGAUGGCCUUGGUGUCAGUAAGGCGACAUGUGAAGAGAGAUAUCAGUCUGGCUUGCCAUACAUUACAAGAAUUUGCAGGCUUACCCUGACAGUCCUAGUCCAUGGGAGUGGGUGAUGGGGUACUAUUGUGUCACUGUCCGGGGUCCUGAAUAAUUAAAGAGUGCACAGUGGCUUUUACAAGAAUACUAAGAAUUAUUUAUUUGUUAAGGUAACACUAUCUGCUGUAGUAGGUAACCCUCUCUACCCCCAAAUCUGAGUAGCUUACCAUAUUAGAAGUCUUUUCCUGUUCUCAUAGGGUUCCAUUGGUGCUGGGGGUGAGGAGGGGAGGUGGUAAAGGGGUUUGUUCCACACAACCAUUCAGAGAUUCAUAUUGAUGAAGACGGCCAUCUUCAACAUAUAGUUUCCAGAGUUGUUCUGGGCUCAGUAUUUAGACUCCAGGUGGUAUAUCAGAGGAGAGAAGGAGAGUAGAGAACUGUGUGGCAGAUUUUUAUGAACCAGAUCUAGAAGGGACAUUCAUCACUGUCACUGGGAUGCUGUUAAUUAAAACUCGAGCAUACAACCAUUCCUAAGAAUAAAAGAGGCAGUGGGAUGUUGCUUAUUUGUGAGUUCAUUGGAAAAUCACUAGCUUGUUUUUGCCACAAAAUAUUUUUUAUGUUGUUACCCAAUACCCCCCCCCACUGAGACACACACACACACUCAACACAAAUACAACUAGAGCAAAAAAUUCAUUAAAUAAUCCUCUGUGUGUGAUAUAGUCUCAUAGUUUCUAUUCUAUUUUAUUGUUUUAAAGUGCUGUCAUGACCCAUUAAACUGUUAUUAUGGCUGAAUGAGUUUUGACUUAUUGUUUGGAAAACACUGCCCUAAGGUAUAACUGUUUCUCGUAAUCUUAGACAGUGAGAUAUUGCUAAUGAGGAGGAAAACUUCUCUUUUAAAAUCAUUUUCAAAUAAUUGCCAUUUCUAAUAAAUAAUUCGUAAUCAUCCGUGGGUAGAAUAUUAAAAUAAAGUUGUUAAGAAAUGGAAUAUUAAUUAAUAGAAAACCAGGAAGACUUCAGUCCAAUAUGGACAAGCAAGAUCUGCUGGCAAACGAGGAAAAUUGUGUAGGGAUUUGAGACAGGCCAAAUAAAUAGCAUUACUUUUUUCCCAUCUGAGUUUGGAACCACUGAGAAAUAGAGAAGAAAAAGCAGAUGGGCAUUCAAAUACUGGCUUUAUUACUGAUAAAGUUAAUAAUGAAAAAUAUGGCUUCCUAAUCCUAAACCUCAAACAGAGCUUACCUGCCCAGCCACAGGCAGUGCUAAGCAACUUCAGGCCUCCUGAUUGCAGCCUGCCCCUGAAAAACUUACAGUAUGAAGGAGCAAACAGGAAUGAUGAGUAGACCCCCCAAAAUAAGAGGCCAGUACUGACCACACUUUGACAGCCCCUCAUCCCAUAAUCACAAUUUAGAUCACUCCUCCUCCCCCUAAGGAGUUUGAAUGCGAGGGUGGGGAAGUGUGACGGAUGCCUCUCACAAGAAGCCAAGGGAGAGAAAGCUCUCCCCCAUAAACACCACCAGGCAGAGAUGGCAUGACAGCAAUGUCAUUAUCAAAUGAAGCCUAUCAAAGUGCUAUUCACUUUUCUCUGCUAUUUUCUAGAAAGACAAUACAUUUGCAAUUUUUAGACCAUCUUAAGCAAAUGGAACAAUGAUUUUUCAAAACUCACAUAUCUGAUUCCAUAGGCUUUUGUGGUUCUAUGCUAUUUCCGAGAAUGGGACAUGUCAUUCCUUCAGGAAGAUAAGUAGCGUACAUGCCACAUUCCCUCCCCUAACCCAGGUGCUGUAUUUAUGCCUUUCUGUUUUAGUUAUGGUUUAGGAUUUUUAGUUUAGGGUUUCUCAUAAUCUACUGGCUUACAAUGAUAUCUCACAGCUUCUACUAACCCAAGCAAUUCUUACGUUGGUAUCUGUGGGCAUCGAGUUUCUUCUUAUCUAACUCUGCCUCUUAAUGUUCCCAGCACAGCGUUUUGUACAUAAUAGAUUCUGGAACAGUCUUCCCUCAGAUCAUCACAGAACAGGGUUCCUCUCAUGAUUAAGCUCAAAUAUCACCUCCCCAGAGAGUCCUUUCUUGACCACCCAAAUGGAAGUAGCUGCAACCCCCAAAAUUAUGGCAUCAAUACUUUUAUAUGCUCAUAGCAUAUCAUAAUCUUUUUUCUUUUUACUUAUUUGCUUGUUUAUUUUCUGGCUCUUCCCACUAGAAUAUACAUGCAAUAGGAGCAGGUACUUUGCCUGUUAAUCCCCCUCUUUUACUCUCAGUGCCUACAGCAAUACCUGGCUCAUGGAUAAAAUUUAUACAAUUUUAAAAUGAAUGAAUAAAUGCAUAAUAAAAUUGAAAUUGGCAUUUCCCCAACUUUUACCCCCUUCUGGAUAGAGAGGGAAUGUUAGGUGAGGACUCAUGAGAGGCUAGUUAGACAGAGGGAGAGAAGAAAAACUUGGCAAAUGCUGGGUGUUUGCCUCAAAAAUCUCUGUUAGUUUUGGCAGCUACUCAAAGAAAGACACAGCACAGUGGCCCUGCAGCACUUGACUUUUCUGUAAUAGCUCUUCAGUAAUAAGAAGAAAACAACAUGCUUGUUAUUUAGCAGGCAAUUCUUUAGGUCAGAGAGAAACAACCCUACAUCAUUCUUAUUCCAAAAAGACCUGGCUGGGCAGGAGAGGAGGCCCCAAGGUCUGUGGGGCUCUGAAAAGCUACCCUUUUCAAGCGAUUUUGCCUAAAAUAUUUAGCAGGCAAUUAUUUAGGUCAGAGAGAAUCAACCCUACAUCAUUCUUAUUCCAAAAAGACCUGGCUGGGCAGGAGAAGAGGCCCCAAGGUCUGUGGGGUUCUGACAAGCUGCCCUUUUCAAGCAAUUUUGCCUGAUUCAGCAUAGGGAGUCCAGUUUAUAAAGUUGAUGAAUGAGGUUUGUUUAAAAAAAGAGUCAUGCCCUUAUCUAUAUAGCAGGGAAGCCCAUUCCCAGUAGACCUGAAUUCAGCUUAUAAGCUUGCCUGGGCUAGCUUAUGUGGCAAGUGAUGCAGAAAGAGCUUCAGUGAUGGAAUAUUUGCCACCUCUCCCACACCUCCACCCACUGGGUAAAGUUCUGUUCUGCUGGUUGACCCUGGGACAUUAUUAUUCAGAUUAGGAUGAUGAAUAGUGAGAAUGACAAGAGAAACUGGAUGGACAUAAUGUAUUUACCUCUAAGCUUGCAGAGAGUUAUAGGAAAAGGGAUAAACAACAACAACCAAAAAAUAAAAUAAAAUAAAAUAAAAUUUAAAAACCCUGUACAGGUUGUGUUUAUGAGUUUGGGAGACUUCAGAAUGAGGAAGGAGAGAAAGUAAAAGAGAAGAUGCCAUACAGGUUAGAGAGAAAAGGCAAGUUUAUAACUUGUUUUCUAAACAUUUGUUUCAUCAAGAUAUUGCAUAAAGUUUAAACUAUUUUAAU
rnacentral:lncRNA from 1 species